rnacentral:tRNA from 1 species
GGGGAGGUCGUCUAAUGGUCAAGACGCAUGAGGGGCUCUAGACUCAUGAGAUGUGGUGUUCGACUCCCACUUUCCCCA